UGGAUUCGCUAGUAAUCGCGCAUCAGCCAUGGCGCGGUGAAUACGUUCCCGGGCCUUGUACACACCGCCCGUCACACCAUGAGAGUUGAGAAUACCCGAAGUCCAUGUCAAAGUGGCCGAAGGUAGGCUUGAUGAUUGGGGUGAAGUCGUAACAAGGUAAC
rnacentral:rRNA from 1 species